UUCUCUUCCAAAAUAAUCAUACCAGCUGAUUGUGAACAGUUUAAUGCCUGAGGUACAGGGGAGACCCAGAACUGAGCCAAGCAUUUGGAAGAUGACCAGAGGCAUUCCAGUGCGUGCAUCCCUCUGCUUAUCCUGGAUACAGCGUCGUUAGGCUGAGGGCAUAAUCUUCAUAUUCCGGAUGUUUGCUGAAGAUUAUCACUCACUAGCAUGUGAACUCUGAUUGAUUAUUUCCAGUUCUAGUAAUCAUUAACAACGACUAGUAGUCUACGAACAACUUUAUAUUUCAAAGGGUAGAAUUUAUGUGGCUUAGCAUCAAGCCACGCUACGUAGUUGUCACGUUUAUCUCUUCAGUCAUAUGGCAAUACAGCCUUCUGCUUGUGCUAUUCAGCUCUGAAUUUCACCUUUCGUACUAAUAAAAUAUGUUGACACAUCAAGCAGUGUAACUGAUAGGUAAAGUAGAACAGAAUGAGUCACUGUUUUUAAAUUUUUUUUAGCGCAUGCUUUCUCUAUUAGAGUGUAUCAGUCAAAAGACAAAGAGAUACAAAUUCAGAGAGAGAGAACCAGAGGAAAAGGUUGUAGAAAUAUACAACAUGAGAUAAACUGAAGCUGAACAGCACCAGAAUACUUACAAUGAAAGUCCAAGAAAUAGACCAAAUGUAACUUCUUGACUAAACAAAAUUGUGACAGAGAAAUAAUUGUAAGUAAUAUAUGGCCUUCUUCAUUCUGAGAGCUUUCCCAUACCGUCUUUCUGUUCAUCUCCAAUACUAACAUUUAGAAUACCCUUGAAAAGUUUAAAUAAAAUGAAUAGAAGUAAUAAAUGACCCAAAUAGUGGGUGAAAUAUUUUGAGUGUUGUGACCACCACCACGAAUAUCUACUUUCACAUUAAUGAUCUAAAUGGUUUCUCUUCUGCUGGUGGAAAAAGGAGAUGCUUCAGGAUGCCACGGGUCUGUGUAAUUCUGGAAGACCCUUGCCCUGUUGUGAGAUUUUGUGAUCCUGCAGCAGACAAGGUGCAGUCAGUCCAAACUGGGGAGGAAGCAGAAAGGUGGCUGGCUGGCUGAUGUUUUCCUCACUACAGGUACGUUAAUGAUUGCACGCAUCUGUUCUGCACACCUUUGGCCCAAAAUACACCGUUCAUUUCUGCAUAUAUUCUCCUAAAGUCCUCUUUUAGCUGCAGUAUCUUCCCAAGAUAGCCUGGCCCUGGUCUCAUUGCUCAGAUGUCCGUUUGCUCUCCUGACCUGAUUUUGGCAGAGCUGAUCCUCAGGUGUCUAACGAGAGUCUCGCCUAAAGCAGUGCAUCUAGCAAAGUGUCUGAAGAUAAAAAAUAGUAUUGUGUGGGCUCCUGGUAGGCUCUACGAGACGUGCUCUCGAAUCUCAUGAUGUCUCGGAUGACUGCUGUGGGGGAUUAUAAGGUUAUUUUGUGUGCAAGGAUAUGACAGAAUAAGGGGCGCUCUGGUAAUUCCAGAACUGCUUAUAUUCCUCCUGAGAUCAAUACAGCAAUAUUAUCCAGACAGACAAGUGGCUUGGCUCCAUGCUUUCUCAUAAGGACAUCUCACAGCCUGCAGCUCUUUGUUGAUCGAGCCACUCAAUGAAACUUUAUCUAAAUAUUCAAAAUAUCCAAGCACUUGCUCAUCGUUUAAAAAUUGCCUGUGACAGGAAGGCUGUGAAGCCUGUGGUCCGACAACAUCCCUUUCCUGUGGU